ACAGGUCAGCCUCACAAAGGGAAAGAGCCCUGGAUGGGAAUACAGUGGAAGCUCAUUCUCUUAGUGACCUGGGGACAUUGGCUCGAGAUGAAGCCUGGCAGGAGUGGCAACUCCAGGUGAAAAGCUUGGUGAAAGAUUUUAAGGACUUCCCAUUGGCUGAAGGCUGGCAAAUGGAGUUUGCUAUCCUCUGACUGCAGCCAUUCUGAG
rnacentral:lncRNA from 1 species